GACGAACGCUGGCGGCGUGCUUAACACAUGCAAGUCGAACGGAAAGGCCCUGCUUUUGUGGGGUGCUCGAGUGGCGAACGGGUGAGUAACACGUGAGUAACCUGCCCUUGACUUUGGGAUAACUUCAGGAAACUGGGGCUAAUACCGGAUAGGAGCUCCUGCUGCAUGGUGGGGGUUGGAAAGUUUCGGCGGUUGGGGAUGGACUCGCGGCUUAUCAGCUUGUUGGUGGGGUAGUGGCUUACCAAGGCUUUGACGGGUAGCCGGCCUGAGAGGGUGACCGGGCAAAAUGGGGAUUGGGUACGGCCCCGAAUCCCACGGGGAGGAGGAGGGGGGGAUAUUGGACCAAGGGGCGGAGGCCGGAGGAGGAAACCCCGGGUGGGGAAGGAGGGCUUUCGGGUGGAAAACGGCUUUCGCCGGUGACGAGGCGGGAGGAAGGGAAAUGGGAAAAGAAGAACCGGUUACCUACGG
rnacentral:rRNA from 1 species